rfam:Nectria haematococca mpVI 77-13-4 chromosome 6 genomic scaffold NECHAsca_20_chr6_4_0, whole genome shotgun sequence.
ACAUACGACCACAGCCUUUAGAGAACUCGGGAUCCCGUCCGCUCUCCCAUAGAUAACCUGAAGAGCGCCCGAGUAGUAGUCAGGUCGGUGACGACUGGCGAAUUCCGGGUGUUGUAUGUU